GAUGAACGCUGGCGGCGUGCCUAAUACAUGCAAGUCGAGCGAACGGACGAGAAGCUUGCUUCUCUGAUGUUAGCGGCGGACGGGUGAGUAACACGUGGAUAACCUACCUAUAAGACUGGGAUAACUUCGGGAAACCGGAGCUAAUACCGGAUAAUAUUUUGAACCGCAUGGUUCAAAAGUGAAAGACGGUCUUGCUGUCACUUAUAGAUGGAUCCGCGCUGCAUUAGCUAGUUGGUAAGGUAACGGCUUACCAAGGCAACGAUGCAUAGCCGACCUGAGAGGGUGAUCGGCCACACUGGAACUGAGACACGGUCCAGACUCCUACGGGAGGCAGCAGUAGGGAAUCUUCCGCAAUGGGCGAAAGCCUGACGGAGCAACGCCGCGUGAGUGAUGAAGGUCUUCGGAUCGAAAAACUCUGUUAUUAGGGAAGAACAUAUGUGUAAGUAACUGUGCACAUCUUGACGGUACCUAAUCAGAAAGCCACGGCUAACUACGUG
rnacentral:rRNA from 1 species